rnacentral:lncRNA from 1 species
GUGAUUCCGAUGUUUAACCAGCAUUGAGAACCAUUAAUCUUCCUUGUUUUAUAGCCCUUUAACUUAGUUGAAGACAUUCAGGCCUACUGGUCAGGGGAGAGAAGCUGAAUACUCCAACUGGUAAAGGCUACUAUCACCCAGGAUGCAUUUCCUUUCUCAUCUACUCCCAGGAUGCAUUUCCUUUCUCAUCUACUCCUAACUUGUAAUUUGGUCUUUCUUCUUUGGCUCUCAGGUCCUAUGCUGCUGUGGAUGGAAACAUCAAGUUCUUGUUCAGACUGUGGAAUCCAACCCUUAGCCUCCUUUCUAAAUGAGCAGGAGCCCUGGGAGCUGCAAACAGACUGGGCACUGUGUCCAAGAAACCAGCUAACGUGGGCUGCAGUACAUGGAGGACAGCAGCUGGGAGCUGACUAAGGAGGACUCUGUGACUGGACUGCUUAGAUGGGCCCAGGAUCAGAAUUCAAGUCACUUUUACAAAACAGAACUAAAGAGGCCUUUGAGAAUUAUCUUGUCCAGUUCUUUAUCAGCAUCUCUAUCUAAAAGACACAGAUACCCGGAACUCAAGAUGGUCUUACUGAAUAAGAAAUCCCACAGGUUCUGUCUUCUUGGAUUGCUGUAUUUUUCAUCCAAACUGACACCUACUUUAAUUAUUCUGAACAGAGGAAAAUCUACCUUGUGUAUGUUGAAUUUAUGGCUACGUUUCAUGACAAUAAAAGUGCUAUGUGCUUUUUGACUUAGGUACACUUUUGGUACAUAGAAUCAUUGCUGUGGCUGAUGUUUGCUGAGUCCACUUCCGUUUGCCUCUCUACCUUGUGCAUCAGGAUUCUGACAGAAACUCUACAGUGGAAAGUGAUCAAAAGCAUUUAAUUAACCAGCUAUUAUUAACCUCUAAGACAAGAUCUCUUCUCCUUUUUCUGCCCUCUUGUUCUCCCCCAUGUCCUUGGCCUGACCCUGCCUCUUAAUUCCCAUUGUGGCUCCUCCUGCUUUGCAAUGAACAUUUAUUCAUCUGAAUGCAUUUGCAGCUUACAU